rnacentral:rRNA from 1 species
AUUGAACGCUGGCGGUAUGCCUUACACAUGCAAGUCGAACGGUAGAGGGGCAACCCUUGAGAGUGGCGAACGGGUGAGUAAUACAUCGGAACGUGCCCAGUCGUGGGGGAUAACGUAGCGAAAGCUACGCUAAUACCGCAUACGACCUGAGGGUGAAAGCGGGGGAUCUUCGGACCUCGCGCGAUUGGAGCGGCCGAUGGCAGAUUAGGUAGUUGGUGGGGUAAAGGCCUACCAAGCCUGCGAUCUGUAGCUGGUCUGAGAGGACGACCAGCCACACUGGGACUGAGACACGGCCCAGACUCCUACGGGAGUCAGCAGUGGGGAAUUUUGGACAAUGGGCGCAAGCCUGAUCCAGCCAUACCGCGUGCGGGAAGAAGGCCUUCGGGUUGUAAACCGCUUUUGUCAGGGAAGAAAUCUUCUGGGCUAAUACCUCGGGAGGAUGACGGUACCUGAAGAAUAAGCACCGGCUAACUACGUGCCAGCCGCCACGGUAAGAC